GCCGAAGUGGCGGAAUCGGUAGACGCGCACGAUUCAGGGUCGUGUGUCCGUGAGGACGUGUGGGUUCAAGUCCCACCUUCGGCACCA
rnacentral:tRNA from 1 species